GACUCUGACGAAGACGGAAGACGUCCGUCAAAACAUGUCAACGAUGCUAAAACACAACCGUGUCUGAUAACAGAAGAAACACAAAGUCAAAUACAACUUUAUUCUCAAGCGGCCAAAAAUGUUGAACAACUCAAAAGUGAAUUCAACUAAAUUCCUGUCGGCUGAAACCCUCGAUGGAAAUCUGCGCACAUCGACGAAUGACGAACGAAAGAAACACUCGUGCAUUACGCAUGGAUCACGAAAGAACGACAUUUUAUACGUGGAAAAUGCUCAAAAGGGUAUCAACAGGGAGAAGAGCAGGAAGUUGGCGGCUCCCUGGUCCUCACUGCUGUGGAAGAACAGCUCCAGCACCGACGGGUCUUUGACCAGAGCCGCACACAGUUGGUUCAGCAGCAGGACGAGCUCCGCCUCCACCACGCUGCCGCUGUCUGCAGGGAGGAGACGGGAGGAGGACGGCUCACCGCCGGCUAAGGCUGGGCUGAUCGAUCUGAGUCUCGGAAGUAUCAGUACCAGAAGGAAGAGGAGGAACCUCCCACUGCUGACUUGUUCAUUGAUGUGUUUCUGCUGUUGAAAAUCGGUCCUGUUAACGUUAACGAGGUGGAGACGUUCUCCAGGAACCUGCAGGCCUCCAGAUUUCAUCCUCAUGCAGUCAAAACUCUGAGUUCUGUGAAAAAGCUUUAAAUCCGGGCCUUUAGCUGGUUCUGUUGGACCUGUGAACCGGAUCUUCAGAGCGCCGACCUGUCCCCGAG